UGCUAACAUUUGCAUCUGGCUACUAUGUGCUGGACUGGCUCUUUGCACAGUCUGUACCUUGGGUCCACCCCCACUUUUAUUGAUCUGGUGCUGAGUGCCUGUUCCUGUGCCCAUAGGUUUAGUGCCUCAGUGCAGUUUUUCAGUCUUGCAUUAUCCAACUAUUGGCAUGAUUGAGCCCAAUGCCACACAUAUGGAUACAGGAAUGCUUAGUAUAUAGUGGUAUCUGCCGGUCGCACAACCCAUGGAGAGGCUGG